rnacentral:rRNA from 1 species
GACGAACGCUGGCGGCGUGCUUAACACAUGCAAGUCGAACGGAAAGGCCCUGCUUUUGUGGGGUGCUCGAGUGGCGAACGGGUGAGUAACACGUGAGUAACCUGCCCUUGACUUUGGGAUAACUUCAGGAAACUGGGGCUAAUACCGGAUAGGAGUUCCUGCUGCAUGGUGGGGGUUGGAAAGUUUCGGCGGUUGGGGAUGGACUCGCGGCUUAUCAGCUUGUUGGUGGGGUAGUGGCUUACCAAGGCUUUGACGGGUAGCCGGCCUGAGAGGGUGACCGGCCACAUUGGGACUGAGAUACGGCCCAGACUCCUACGGGAGGCAGCAGUGGGGAAUAUUGCACAAUGGGCGGAAGCCUGAUGCGGCAACGCCGCGUGCGGGAUGACGGCCUUCGGGUUGUAAACCGCUUUCGCCUGUGACGAAGCGUGAGUGACGGUAAUGGGUAAAGAAGCACCGGCUAACUACGUG